rnacentral:rRNA from 1 species
CUACGGGGUGCAGCAGUGGGGAAUAUUGGACAAUGGACCAAAAGUCUGAUCCAGCAAUUCUGUGUGUUUGAUGAAGGCCUUCGGGUUGUAAAGAACUUUAAGCAGGGAAGAAGAAAGUGACGGUACCUGCAGAAUAAGCGACGGCUAAAUACGUGCCAGCAGCCGCGGUAAUACGUAUGUCGCAAGCGUUAUCCGGAAUUAUUGGGCAUAAAGGGCGUCUAGGCGGUCUAGUAAGUCUGAUGUGAAAAUGCGGGGCUCAACUCCGUAUUGCGUUGGAAACUGCUAGACUAGAGUUUUGGAGAGGUAGGCGGAACUACAAGUGUAGAGGUGAAAUUCGUAGAGAUUUGUAGGAAUGCCGAUGACGAAGGUAGCUUACUGGACAAAUACUGACGCUGAAGCGCGAAAGCUAGGGGAGCAAACAGGAUUAGAUACGCGAGUAGUC